rnacentral:rRNA from 1 species
UACGGAGGGGGCUAGCGUUGUUCGGAAUUACUGGGCGUAAAGCGCACGUAGGCGGAUUUGUAAGUCAGGGGUGAAAUCCCGGGGCUCAACCUCGGAACUGCCUUUGAUACUGCGAAUCUCGAGUCCGGAAGAGGUGAGUGGAAUUCCUAGUGUAGAGGUGAAAUUCGUAGAUAUUAGGAAGAACACCAGUGGCGAAGGGCGGACUCACUGGUCCGGUACUGGACGCUGAGG